AUUUGAGAGAGCAAACCGUGAGAGAAGGGAGAAAGAAGAAGAAGAGAAAAGAGGGAAAUUAGAAGGGAAAUAGAAAGGAAUUGAAGGGAAUAAGUUUAAAGAUAAUCCUGAUAUUCUACCGGCGGGACGUCAGUAGGAUUUUCUUCGAUAUCAGCUUUGAGUUUUGUUGCUUUUGAGUCAGGAUAAGCUUGUGUGUAAGUUUGGGUUCGCAUAGGUAUGGAACCUUAGAGGGGAACCUUGCCCAUGUGCCGGUCAUGGAUCCGGGAUUCGGGUCGUGAUAAUAGGACUCACCGACCUAUUGAUCCAGAUCGUCAAAUCCAACAUAACUUGCUUCUUAACAGAUGUAUGGAUCUGCGUCAGGAUGAUGGCAUCAAGAUUUCAACAUUGUAUCUCAAUUGGUCCUUCGAGGGAAGCUAUUCUUACGAAGAAUUCUACGUUGGCAAAUUGUUGUCUCAAGCUGCGGGUUCUGAAGUUGAACUUCUUAAGAUAGAAGUUAUUACCAGGUCUGAUACUGCUUUUGAACUACCAGUUUCGGUCAAGAAAUGCGAACACUUGACGAUUCUUAUGCUUAUCUUGACGAACCAAGGCAUUGUGAGAUUUCCCUCGUUAUCGUCUUCUUAUUUCUACAUUCUCAAACAAUUAAAGUUAGAAAAUGUACAUCCAGAGUAUGAGUUUAUUAGAGAUUUGGGCUCAAGCUUCUGCAAGUGAUUGAAGGUUUUGCAACUUUUUAAAUUGAACUGAGCUAAAACAAGUUACCAUCUGCCAACCUCGCCAACACAAUAUCGGUGUUGGACCCAUUAAGUCCCAACGCAUCAUGGGUGCAGGACCAGGAAGUUUACAGUUUCAAGUUUUUUUCUAAACAUGGACGUUGGAUACAUUUCUAAGUAUGAGUUUUGUACCCUUAAAAAACUGAAACUUCUUUUUAACUUUU